AUUGAACGCUGGCGGCAUGCUUUACACAUGCAAGUCGAACGGUAACAGGGAGCUUGCUCCGCUGACGAGUGGCGAACGGGUGAGUAAUGCAUCGGAACGUACCCAGUCGUGGGGGGAUAACGUAGCGAAAGUUACGCUAAUACCGCAUACGUCCUGAGGGAGAAAGCGGGGGACCGUAAGGCCUCGCGCGAUUGGAGCGGCCGAUGUCGGAUUAGCUAGUUGGUAGGGUAAAGGCCUACCAAGGCGACGAUCCGUAGCGGGUCUGAGAGGACGGCCCGCCACACUGGGACUGAGACACGGCCCAGACUCCUACGGGAGGCAGCAGUGGGGAAUUUUGGACAAUGGGGGCAACCCUGAUCCAGCCAUUCCGCGUGAGUGAAGAAGGCCU
rnacentral:rRNA from 1 species